rnacentral:rRNA from 1 species
UACGAGGGGAGCAAGCGUUGUUCGGAUUUACUGGGCGUAAAGGGCGCGUAGGCGGCCACGACAAGUCACUUGUGAAAUCUCCGGGCUUAACUCGGAACGGUCAAGUGAUACUGUCGGGCUAGAGUGCAGAAGGGGCAACUGGAAUUCUCGGUGUAGCGGUGAAAUUCGUAGAUAUUCGGAAGAACACCAGUGGCGAAGGCGGCUCACUGGACCGGCAUUGACGCUGAGGUGCGAAAGCGUGGGGAGCAAACAGG